UCCCCAUUCACUGCCACUCUGCGCUGCCCCACGCCCUCAGCCACCAGCCCCUCAACCUCCUUGGAGGUGGGUCUGACGCGCGAGCUACUCUUCCUGUAUCCAGCUGCGAUAAGCUAUCCAUCUCGUCAGUCACCGUCAUUCAGCCAAUAGACACUUGCCUCCUCCCUUCUCCAGGCCAUUCAGGGCGUUUUCCGUAUUGGGCGGGACCCUCAGCAAGGCGGGCAACGAUUGGCUUCUGGAGACGCCAGUCCUUGCUAGUCUGCCAAUAGGCGGGGAACCUACAGUGUGGGCAUCCAGGUUAGCUCUGCAGAGGCCUCAACGGGCUAGCGAGGAAACGGGUUCCGCGGGUCCGGCCGGGUGGAGAAAAACUUCAGAACUUCAAGCAUGUGUGACCCCAGGGGCCCAAGAAUAUCUGAUCCAUUCAAAAGGAAGAAGUCUCAGCUUCCCCUGCCCUGUUCUUCCUUCCGCAGGCCCCGCCCCUGUCCCUGAAGGACCCAGAAGGCUUUCCAGAAAUGCACGUCCAGGUUCUGUAUGACCCGCUCAAAUUCGGCCCCACGAAGCUCCGGGUCGAUGGCAAAGCGGCCACUGGUGAAGAUGCUCCCCAAAGGACACCAGCCCGAUGGAGAUGGUCUGCAGGAAUGGUCGGAUGGCGGGCGUGAACUGUGGAGAGACGCUGGAGUCACCCACCCGCCCUGGACAGGGACCAAGACAGGGCAGCAGUGGAGGGCAGAGAAGGGUGGGGGAGGCACGUUCAUUCAGUAAGCGUUUCUGAGCCCCUGUGUGUGCUGGGCAUAGCUCUGGGCACCUUCACGGGCCUGGUGUUCUUAAAGGGAAGAGAAGUGAUAAGCAAAUAAAGGGAGUCAUAUGCAACACAA